AUGCAUAUUUACUAGUUUUUCAGGUGAAAUUGCUGCUGGAUCUAGUUUUAUAGAAUAUUGAUAUUUCUCAAGAAGCACUUGUGGGAGCAACUUAUUGGUUAAAUGUGAAGGGAUGGUUUUCAAAAUAUUUAACAAGGAGUAAGUUGUGAGCACUGACCAAUUAGAAGGAGCAUCUACUGGUCGUAGUAACUGGCAUGACCAUGCUCAUGCAUCUUUGUGUAGCUACCAAAGGGUUCCUUAUCCAGCAAGUCACCACUGAGGGCAACUAUAAUGCAAUCCUGCUGUGAUUCAGUAUAGACCGUGUACCCUGGGGUUAUCUUACUGUAGGAGUGAGAGAGCUGGGGUAUUUUUACUCACUCCCAUCCGACAUUGGUUGAAGGCUGCUUCCUGGACAUUAAUUCUCUGGUACUUCUGUCCUCCCAUUCAAGUGGCAAAGUAGGCCCUGGAGGACUGGGGAUGCCCUAAUGCAAAGAAAGGCUGGCGAUUGGAAGUCAGGCUGGCAUGGCCUCCCCAUUUUCCAGGUGAUUACUAUCUCCUGGGCACAGGUAAUGGCCAACAGGUGUGCCUCUUAGGGAAUCAGCAGUAGAUCCAAGAUGGCGCUAGCUUAUUAAAUAUGCUGACUUCAACAUAGUGGGCGGUGACAGGAAGGACCUCACACCCAGGCUCAUUGAGCAGGAGUGCUGUGAGUGCCAUGAGUAAAACCAGCUGAUGAACUUAGCAGCGUGCGGCCACCGUGGAGGCUCCCAGGAUGGAGAUCAAAUAGGAAAUGUAGCUGGAGCUCAGGGGGUCUAUGAGGGCUCUGUGACUCCUGUGAGGACCUAAGUGGAGCUCAGUCAGCAGGGCCCUGCCAAGAGAGCACAGAGCAGGCUCCACCAGCCACCGACUUCAGCAUCCAGGUCUUCAGGGAGGACCCAGAGCACAGAACAGAGACCUGCACAUAUGAAUCAUGUGAGUCAGGGACCUCCCUCCCCUUUCAUGCCACCACCAGGUAAAGUAAACUCGUCCUCAAGGGGCGCCUUGGAGAGAAAUGGGAGAGUGGGGGAGGAAAACUGCAAGAUCGAAGUAUCUAGGAGACUGUGUAAAUUAUCGGAUUGGAUGAUGUUUAAUUUUCCAUCCCUACAUAGUAUAGUGAAGGGCUCAGGAAAAAGAUUAGAGCAAUUAUAGAAAUAAUGAAGCUAUAUUUUCUUUGUGUCACUAAAUGUAGGGUAAUUUUGAACUUGCUAAAAUUGUCUUUGCCCUGCAUCUGUUCACCGACGCCUGCACGCAUGAGGGGCACACGUGUGUGCUUGCUUGUGCACACACACACCUCCACACACGGCACCUCUACAAGUUUUCCCUGCCACCACCUCCCCCCAAGAAUCUAUACCCACAACAGCAUUAAUGAGAAACGUAGACUUCGCUGAGGAUUUCAAGGAGAGGUGGGGAAGAUCUCAUGGCAUCCUCUCCAGCAAACAGGUUUAUAAUCCCCCUUUAAUACUCAACUUCGGAUCUGAGAUGCAUCUUUUUCAAAUGUGAGUAUUUGAUGUCUUCGAACCAGAAUCUGUCUUCCUAUGAUGGUGUGUCAUAGUAUAAUUGGCCCAUUCUCGUCGCAAUACACAAAAUAACGGUGUGUCUUACACUGGCAGCUUCUUGUAUCUGAGGAAAUCCCUGCGGCUUUCUGCUCUGUGGUCCUUCCUCAAUGGUGCCCAGAGGCUUACUCACUGAGACGGUUGCAUAGAGUGGUUCAAAGCAGAUUCUAGCGUCUACUAUUGCUCACUAGCUCCACCGUUCACUGGCCAAGUGACCUUGGGCAACUUACUGAACCUCUCUGGGCCUUUGUUUCCCCAUCUGUGAAAUGGGAAUAAUACUACUAAUUCCUUCUGAGGGUUGUUGUAAGAGUUAAAUGAGUGAUCUCUAGAGAGAGAUGGGAACAGUGCCAGGUAAGCACUAGAUAGAGCUAUCACUCUUAGUCCCCUCGCACAUGGGCCCAGCCUCCUCUUACCUGUUGCCUUUUUCUUCCUAACUUAUUUUAUGAAGAGUAGUUCAGUGAUCUUGCCUGUCCUUCCCAGCUGGCUUACUUAAAUAUUUCCUCCAAACAGAUCUGUUUUCUCUUUUAAGGAAUUCUGAGAGAUAAAAAUUUUAAUCAUUAUUUCUGAGGCAUCUAUGGCAGAUGCAAGAGAUGGUGGAAUAUGAGCCUGACUGGAGUGAAGUAUGCUCAUUGGGGAACAUUAGGGGAUAUGAUGGGAAAGAUAGGUCAGAGCCAGAUGGCCAUUGAAAGGAUCAGUAGGACAUUUCUUUGGGACAUCUCCCCACAUCCUUUGUGUUUGACAGCAGCCUGCACGCUGUGGAUGCCUAGUCGCACUGACCAUCCCGUACAGGGUAGAGUGGGCUUCCACACUCUUCAAAGCACUCCACAGGGAUGGCAGCUGCUUCUUCCCAUGUAUAAGGCUGGCUCUAGAAGACAAGUUGGUGGACGUGAACUGAGAGAUUAAUUGGGCUUAGGUCAAAAGUGGAGAUUCA